CCAGUGCAGUUGCCAAGACUGUUGAGUAUCUCAUAACUGUCUCUAUGGCAACCCGUGGCUGACAGGCCCUAGCAGCCCGAUCACAGAUGGGAAAGGUUAACCUCUCCCUCACUGAUGCCAGAAGACCCCACCACCCAGUGAAGGCAAAACCUUGGUCUCCAGUCCUUCAGAACUAAAGUACCUGAGGGGAUACUGCAGCUUGUCAAAAGAAUUUUUGUUAUAGCAGCAGAACCUGUUCUUUGUAUAUCAAAGUGCAUAAAUUAGGUUACAUUUUUUUUAGCUGUUUUGGUCAAAGCCAGGAUGGGGCAUUGUACAUCCUCCCUCCUCUGAGAUGAGAUGGUUCACGAAAUACUUCUGGUAUGGGGGAUGUGGACUCCAGGACCCCACCGAAAACCUACUGGUCUAGACUCUAAGUGCUGUAGAAGCUGGAAGACGAGGGAGAUCUUUGAAGAUGGAAUGAGUCAAGGAAGGCUACAUGGACGAAGUAGGAUGCUGAUAGAUCCUUGGAAGAUGGAUAUUAGGUGGUGGUGGACAAGAAGGUUUCCAAGGCACCCAUGUCAGAGAGAUACUUGGAAAGCCUUUUACCCUGGACUUCUCCAUCCAUCCACUCCCUAUGUCCAGAUUAUUUUUAUCUGUCCUUGGCUCCCUUGAGAAGUCUGUGUUUUCUUCCACACUGUCUCCAUCCCUGGAUCUAAGCUGAUUGUAUUUUGAGCUCCCUAGACCAUUAAGAAGGGGAGUCUUCAUCUAUGUCAUUCAUUUUACAUCAUUCAUUCACGCACCAUCUGUGCGAGACAACUCUGCCUGAGAAAAACAAGUGGCAAAACUCAAAACUCCAACAAUUGGUAGCCUCUCAAGCGACCCAGCCAGGGAAGAGGUGUUUGGUUGGAAAAUCAGAAUUUGGAUAGUACUUAGACCCUUGCCCAGAACAGCAUCAAAACCAACUCUCCACCUAACGGUGUGCUCUUCAGAGCUGAGUGAAGGCAUCACAGAGGAGGUGGCAUCUGAGCAGUCUUGAAGGAUCAAUAGAAAUCUGACAGGCAGAUAAGGGUGCUGGGAAGAGAUAAAAAAAAAAAAAGGCAUCUACUUUCCCCAGGAAUAAACCAGUAAACACAACAGCAUGCAAAUGUGCCUCGUCAAAGGGAAGUUCAGGGGGCCUGUGGAGUGUUUUGUGAGCAUCCUCUCUAGGAGGGUUUCUGCCUUCAUUUAGGGUGGGGCACAGGGUGAUGAGGUGAAGGAAGACUCAGCCCACCAAACAGAAGUGUUGCAAGGACCAAAUGACUAUUUCAGAAGUGCAUAAAAGUUGUGUGAAUGGUAAAGCAAAAGAAGAGAGCAGAAUUAUUUGUAUUGUUGCUCUCUGGCUGCACAGCACUUCAGAGUCCUUCAAACAAUUGUGAUGCCUAAGGAUUUGAUUCAGAUUAGGCAUGCUUCAGAACCCCAGUAUCUAGAUUUCCCUACAUUGUUUUAUCUUUCUAGAAUGCCUUUCUCCCAGCCUUCUCUAUUGCCAAUCCCAAACCACAUUUUCCUCAAUAGUAGUCUUGAUCCAAGUUCAUAUAGAAAACUUUCUGAAGAUGCUCAUCACAAUCCCCCCACCUACUCCCACACUGGAUUUUAAGUGAGUCCACCUUCCAACCAUACUGCUGAGGGAGAUGGCAGCAUGUGAGGGAGGGGAUCUGCUUGCAUUUUUUCCAACCUCAAACCUCAGACACUUCACAUGCCUCCUGCAACUAACAUAGCUUUAAACGUUCUUCACUUUGUCCUCAGUUUGUUCGGUGAAUGAAAACUUUAUCUUUCCAACUACAUUGUAAGCUCCUCAAGGGCAAGGCCAGUGCCCUUGGAUGCUUUUCCUUGCUCUACCUUGGCUGGCACUGUGUGACACACUCAGUGUUUGUCAUCACUUUAUCAGUGAGGGCUGAUAGAAAUGAGGCUGUUAAUUUCAUCCAUGGAACUUCAUUUGCAAUUAAAUGGAUGGUGAUGCCUUGGUUAUGGCUUAAUUAAUAAAUUCAAUAAACAUGAAUUAAGGAUCUAUGAUGAGUCAAACACUGUGUUAUGCACUGGCUCUAUGGAGAUGAAUGACAGCUCUCUGCUCUCAAGUUCACAGUCUAGAAAGAAACGAACAUGUGCAAACAGAUAUUUAUAAAAUCGGGGGUAAUUGCUAGAGAAUAGAUUUGUUUAAAGGAUUGUGAAAACACAAAGGAAGGGGCAAGAAACCACACUUGCUGACAUGACGGAUCAUCUUGGUUUUGAAAGAUGUAAAUGAAAUUUCCAAAAAGGUUGUGGAAAGCAUUCCAGGCAGAAGUAAUGGGGGUAAAAAGACACUGAAGUAGGAUGAGGCAGGAAGACAUAUUUGAGGAAUUUGAGCAUCUCAGUGUGACCAGGCCAUGAGCUAUAUAGUGGGACAUGGUGGCAAAUUGUGAAGUCUUUUAUAUCAGCUUGGGAAUUUAGACUUUUUCUUAAACCACAGAAAGCCAAGAGAGAUUUUUAGAGCAUGGGGCCCCAUGCAUGAUCCCAUCUGCUUUUUGACAAGAAGUCUCUUGGUCUAGUUCUACCCAGAGUGCCAGAGAAGCCUACACAGAGGCCAAGAGAGGCUUGAGGAUCAAGCAGCUUGAAGAGCAGCUAAUGGCAGAGACAAAUUUGAAAAGCAGAUGUCAUAAUACCAGCCAGACAUUACUGUGGCAGAGGGGAGAAUCCUUCAACUCUAAGAGGAGGGAUGGAAGAAAUGGUGAAUCAUUAACAAAGACAGUGGCAUGCUUUUACUAACUAGUAAGGCUUUUUCUACAAAAGCAGUAAGAUGUAUUUAAAACAGCUAAACAUGAAUAUCAAUUAGAUUGAUUACAGAUACAAAGAAAAUACAAUUUAGAGAGCAGGAAUGUAAGAAAUACAGAUGGCUAGGUACAACUUAGUACCUUUUGCACUAGCAUGUAACUACAGUUGACCCUUGAACAAUAUGGAUUUCAACUGUGAUGUUCCAUUUAUGCAAGGAUCAAAAAUGCAGUAUUCCUGGGAUGCUAAUGACUUUUUAUAUAGGUGGGUUCUACUGGGCCAACCACAUGACUGCAGCAUGUACGUAUUUGGUGUACUCAGAACUCUGGCAUAUACCAAGGGAGGACUGUAUGAUGAAUCAUUGCACAAUUUAACCUGGUCUUCUUCUAAGUAUGUCAAAACUUUGUUGUGCCAAAACCUGAAGGUUUCUCCAAAGCUCUUCAGUUGCGCCCUGAGUCCUACAAGGAGCUGUCCUUCCAUCCUAUGUAUCUUCUCCGUAGCAACGCUGACAAGGAACACUCUGAUUCUCUACUAUUGGGGGAGGGUAAAUAGACAGUGUCACAAAAAGAAAGCAUAUCGACAGGCCUCGAAGCGUGGUGUGCCUUGUUUGGAUUGCCAAGUCCAAAAUCUCAGCCUCAGCUUUGCAGAUCUCCAAAUCCAAUUUUCUCAGUGUUGCAGAGUCAAUUGAGUUCAGAAAGGCUGAGCAAACAAAAAUUUGCCAAUUCAUUAAUUUACCAUGAGAAACAUAACUACCAGAGGGAUCAGCUACUCAUGCUUUCUAGCCUGGUUAGCACAUUUGUUCUGUUUUGACAUUUCCAUAAGAAGCCAAAUUACAACCUGAAAGUUACAUGGUAAAUGAGGAAUCCCAACAAUGGGCCAUCGAUGUAUGCACACACAAUGGAUGCCACCAGGUAUAGUGGUCUGAUGCCUUCAUCACCCCCAGAGGAAUUUUUCAGUCCAAACUCACAGACAGCACUUGGUGGCAAUUUACUCCAGUUUUUGAUAAAGCAUUUGGAAGAAAGUAUUAUCUGGGGUGCUCAGAUUAUUUAACUUAGUAGCAGGCAAUGUCAAAUUCAAAAUUAUAAUUCCAACAGAAAUUGUUUCACCCACCAAUGCAUUAAACAUUCAGCCAAUGUGUGUCUGGAGUAUUCUAAGUGACAGGUGUCAUGAUAUGGAUAUAUCAACAAACAAGGCAAGGACUUUGUCUUCAGUGGGCUCAGAAUUUAGUAGGAAGCAAAUAUGUCAACUUGCAAUGCAGAGUAAUAUUUGCUGUAUUGUUGUACAUCUAGUUGGAGCCAAGAUGAAGGGCCCUGAUUCUGCCUGGGUGUCAGGGAAAGGCUACCCAGAAACCACGAAGCUUACCCUGAUCCUACUGCAGUGUCUGA